GGAAACGUGACCGAGUGGCCGAAGGUGCUCCCCUGCUAAGGGAGUAUGGGGUGUAGAGCCUCAUCGAGGGUUCGACUCCCUCCGUUUCCGCCA
rnacentral:tRNA from 1 species